rnacentral:misc_RNA from 1 species
AUACAAAAGAUUCCUAUCUGCAACAAAGUCCCAAAUGUAAAAAGACAAAUUAUGAAGUCAGUUUUCAUUUUCCACAAGCAUAAGAAAUCCAAAAAAUCAGAAACCAACAUUCAUGGAGUUAAAGGGACAAAAUUUCAAUUCAAAUUAACUGUUAAUGCCUAUAAUACUUCCUUACAGAGAAUUUGUUUUUACACUCAUGCAAGUGCAAAUAU